rnacentral:misc_RNA from 1 species
UCCGGUUUGGCACCGGCAGUCUUCCCAGAGUCCCCGCCAUGACGCGCUGGCAACUGAGAACGGGGGUUGCGCUCGUUGCGGGACUUAACCCAACAUCUCACGACACGAGCUGACGACAGCCAUGCAGCACCUGUGCAGGAACUCCGAAGAGGGCCUCUGGUUUCUCAGAGGUUUCUCCUGCAUGUCAAGCCUAGGUAAGGUUCUUCGCGUUGCGUCGAAUUAAACCACAUGCUCCACCGCUUGUGCGGGCCCCCGUCAAUUCCUUUGAGUUUCAGCCUUGCGGCCGUACUCCCCAGGCGGGGCACUUACUGCGUUAGCGACGGCACCGGGAGGGUCGCUCCCCCCGACGCCUAGUGCCCAUCGUUUACGGCGUGGACUAC